UAGUAACCUGCCCUUGACUCUGGGAUAAGCCUGGGAAACGGGUCUAAUACCGGAUAUGACCUUCCAUCGCAUGGUGGUUGGUGGAAAGCUUUUGUGGUUUUGGAUGGACUCGCGGCCUAUCAGCUUGUUGGUGGGGUAAUGGCCUACCAAGGCGACGACGGGUAGCCGGCCUGAGAGGGUGACCGGCCACACUGGGACUGAGACACGGCCCAGACUCCUACGGGAGGCAGCAGUGGGGAAUAUUGCACAAUGGGCGCAAGCCUGAUGCAGCGACGCCGCGUGAGGGAUGACGGCCUUCGGGUUGUAAACCUCUUUCAGUAGGGAAGAAGCGAAAGUGACGGUACCUGCAGAAGAAGCGCCGGCUAACUACGUGCCAGCAGCCGCGGUAAUACGUAGGGCGCAAGCGUUAUCCGGAAUUAUUGGGCGUAAAGAGCUCGUAGGCGGUUUGUCGCGUCUGCCGUGAAAGUCCGGGGCUCAACUCCGGAUCUGCGGUGGGU
rnacentral:rRNA from 1 species